UUUAUUCAAACAAAAAAUUAUUCCCGUCUUUUCCUUUUUCACAUUUAUUCUCCUUUUUAUUCUUUAAAAUGUAUUUCUCAAAUUUUGCCCAAUUUGUCUCUCGCUCUCUACCUUCUUCUCUGCGUUCGUCCGUGCAUCUCUGUGAGAAUACGAGCAUCCACCACCAUUUGUUCUCCAAUUGAGGUAUUGUUAUUUUCUAUCACUUUAUAGAUCUAUAGAUUUCGUUCUCAAAUAAUCUCUUUGUGUCCUCUUCGAUCUCUUUCACAAUUAGCAUUAACAAAUUUCUAAUUUAGGGUUUUUUCCCUUCAAUUUUACUUAGAUAUGCUGAAGGACCAAUUUUAUUUGGACGAAUUUUAUUUGGACCAAAAUUUAUGACAACUCUUUCAUCCUUGUUGUGUGUUUGUUGAUUAUUUUAUGGUCUCUUAUUUUUUUUUAUCCGUUUGGAGAAUUCAGGGCGGAUUUUUUUCUUCGACAGUGCAAGAUGGAUUUUGUAUAUAAGGGUUUGGUCUUACUUUUCGAUUAAAAUUAUUAACUUUUUUUUUAUUUUUGUUUUUUACCGAAGACACAGAGUGCAUUGUUGAUUUUGUACUGUGUAAUAUAUUUUUUUUUCUUCUUAUUUUCAGGUUUUAAUGAAAGCUUUGGUUUGUGAGGUAUUGUUAAUUUUACAAUAAGAUUGGUAAAAUUUUCUUAGCAUUGUGUGCUUCUACAUUAUACGAAAGAUGUGUCUUCAUAUACUUGCAUAGUAUGUUAUAACGUUAAGUCAACUCACUUUAUUGCAGGGUGUGGUUAAUUGUGUUGCUGGAAAAGAGAAAACAAAGUUAAGUAAGUAUUUCGUGCUUGAAUACUACAUAUAUAUAUAUAUAUAUAUAUAUAUAUAUAUAUAUAUAUAAUGGCCUAUCACUAUCUCUAAGUAAAUAUUGACAUAGCUAGUUAAGAUGGUGUAUUAGCUUAAUUUUGAAUUGGACUUGAGUUCUAAAUGUUGGUAGUUUGUACUAAUAUUACACUUACAUAUUACAUUUUUUAUCUUGGCCGAAAAGGUCCACUUCUAGUAAUAACCUUCCUCUAUUUGCUAUUUAUUUGACUGGACUUAAGCAUUCUCUAAUGAACUGCACAUUACCAAUUUGCAGUUUUAAUCUAUUGGGAUUUGCGUUAAUGUAAUCUCUAUAUUGUUGUCUAUGACCUCAUUAUUAAUUGCUGAAAGAGUAUAUUAUACUUCUUGAACUCUAUUAAAACUUUUAAUUGCAUAGCUCCAUUUUCUUUGCAGUGUCAUUUGAUAAGUUGACUAUAAGUAUUUUCUUUUCUUUUUUAUGAUCACAGGAAAACAUCAGAGAAUAAGGUUGAACCACCUUUACCGAACAACAUAUCGCUAGAUUUUCUGCCAAACUUUGUGUAAGUGUUCGAGUUGCGCUCAUGUGUGUUUAAUGAGGAUUUUUAUGUCCAGAUUAUACACUGCAGUUAUUGGCAGCUAUCUAACAAAUUUUACUAACAGAUAAUUAGCUUAUUCAUUUUUUUCCAAAGCCAUCCUUCUUAAUCUAUUUUAGAAGUAUAUGUUUGAGAUUCUAAUAAUAUGUGUUUGAUUUGAUUCAUGACCAGGAGUCUCAAGCUGCAAACUACAAUUAUAUUUGCUCUGUAAGUGGAAAAUAAACUAAUUUAAUAGCUUUUAUAGCAAGCAUGCUUGUGUUGGUCCAUUGGUUUUUUUUCCUCCCAUUCUGGUAAUAUUUUUUUCACUUUCAUCUUUUUGAGUUAGUUUAUGCAUUAAUUUUAUUUAAUGUGCUCUUAAAGUGAAUGCAUUUUUGUUCUUAUAUAUUUUUUUCUCUCUAGUAAAACUGAAUUAAUUUGCAUAAGUUUGGGAGCACAAAUGAUAUUUAUUUUAGCUUUAGAAAUAAUAUACAUCUUUGCGAAGUUAUUCAUUUAUAAGAUAUGAAUUUUGUGUGAAUGUAUAUUUAUUACUUCAACUUUUAUUGUAUCAGGCAGUGUGGUCUGAGACAAAAGUUGAUGGAGAAGGAAAUGGAGAUGCACAAAUAGAAGACCGAGAUGAAGAGAAAGAUGAAGAUGGUAAUGGAUAUAGGUCUUUGCAGUUCUUAUAGGAAGAAUUGUAAAUUUAUGAUUUCGGUUUAUGCUAAAC
rnacentral:lncRNA from 1 species